ACAUGGCACGUUGGCGGCCGCAGCUGUGGCUCUACCCCUCUGUGACCUUGACGCAGAGAUAAGUAAUGUUUAUUAAAAGAAAACGUGAACUACUGUGAGGAGACAGGGACAGUGGGAGGGUCACCGGAACUCUAGGUCUCAGACACGCAGGUGGUAUCUAAUCCACCGCAUUGGCCAGGGUGUGGCCGGCCGCGACUCCUUCCCCGGAAAUGGAGCUGCAGACGAGGCUCCAAGGGUCUCGGGAAGGCAAAGGCACAAGGGCUCGCCUCCCCCAGGCGUCAGGACCCGUUUUAGUCUCCGGGCAGAUGGGCGCAACAUCCAACCUGGGAGGGGGCCCCAGGCCCGCCGCGCUCCCGCCCGCGUCCUCGUCGGACUUCAGGAUGGGGGGUCUCCGCACACAAAGCGGACCCCGGGCGCGGGAGAAUGGAACCAGAACGAUGCCGGCGAUCAGAGCAAAAGCGGAUCGACAUUACACCGAGUUCAGGUCGUGGCAGAGGAAACCAGGAGAGACAGGGCGCCACUCACUAGCUGAAGAAUGUGCCAGAAGAAAGUCCCAGCAAGUGAGCUGAAACGGGUCAGCAAAUAAUGACAGUGUCGCAAGCACAGAAAAAGAGAAACACUCAGAGGCGUGCUCGCAGGUUUGUGUGUCUGGGUGGGGGCUGGGGAAGAAGCUGAGGCCACACCAUUCCUAUUUAAUAGGGGAGGAAACAGGCUCAAGGCACAGAACCAUCCCUGGUUCUCACAGCUAAGAGAUGGCAGGGCUGGAAUUUAAAGCCAGGUCCUUUUGGGCCCAAGCCCACUGCUUUUCUCUUUCCACCAACUAAUGGCUAUCACAUCCUUACACCCGGUGGUGGCCUUGCAAUCCGCACCUGUCCUCCGAGUCUAAUCAAACCUUGCCCUCCCCAAAGGCCGGGCUCCGCACCUGGGCAGCAGGGAGGGAGGGAGGUGGUGGGCGGGCCUGAGGGACAGGUGGGAGUCUGAUGGAGGAGGACUGAGUUUGACUCCCAGGUUCGGUCUUGGACAAGUGGGUGGAAGGAGGUGUGGAGCAGCGGGAGGAGGGAUGCGGGGGGAGCAGUUCGAGGGCACGUGUUUCAUGCCCAGCUCCCAAGGAUGGGUGACUCGGGAUUCUAACUUGUCAGCUGCCCCUUCUCCCACCAAAUCAUUCUCUGAGCCUUCUCCCGGGUCAUCUUUGGAAGAGGGAAGAGGGCAGAAAGCAGGGGCGAUUGCUGGCCUUACACGCAGGACACCAAGGAUCACAGGUAUGGCGGUGGGUGACCUGAUCUGAAUGGGCCAGCGGCUGCCGUGUCCACACAAUGACUCAGGAAGCUGGCUCGGAAGCACAUGAAGACUCCCGGCCUGGGGACAUGAGGGUGGGCAGCCUGCAUUUGUGUACUGCCUGCUGGUAAGUCAGCUCUUUCAUAUACAUCUGUCUUUAGAUCCUCCAACCACCCUGGGAGACACCCUCCCAUUUUAUAAGUGAAGGACACUGAUGCUUAGAAAGGAGCAAAGAUUCAGCAGAGGGAAGGGAAGGCGAAAAAGGAAAAGAAAAUGGGUUUUUAUGGAGGACCUGCUACAUGCCAGGAAUCAGCAAGUGCGGUCUCACAUAUGUUAACAGACCUAUUCUUUCAAAAUCUCUACAGGCAGCAUCAACACCUGCAUUUGCAGAGGAGAAAACAGGCUCCAUUAAAUAAGCUGGAAGCCCAGGGAGUGAGGGAGAAAUUCAGAUGGGACACCCAGUGCCUGGCCCUCGAGCCCAGAGCUCAUUCAUUCACCCCAUGCGCUGGGCCAACAACCACUUCUCCAGCAUCUUCCAUUAGGCCAAACAUUUAGGAAAAAAGGAUGAACAAAAUAGUCAAGCCCCCUGCCACGUGCCGCGUGUGGUGGGAGGAGGGCAAGAUGCCGUGGGAAGACAUGACGGGGUCCCACAGAGCUUCUCUGGAGAAGGGACCUUUGAGCUGAGGGCGGAUGGAUGACGGCCAGGAUGAGUGAGGAGUGUUCCAGGCAGAUGAAACAGCGUGUGCCAAGGGUCUGAGCCCAUAAAGAGUUUCUGACGUUCCUGGUGGCUGGAGAGGAAGCCUGGGACCAGAUUGUGCAGCUAUGUCUAAGAGCUUUGAAGUUCAAGUCACCAAAGAGGUCUAAAUAGGUGGGAGGAACAAUCAGAGUGGUGACUGCCGAGUGGAGAAGGGCCUGGAGGGAAAGCAGAGACCAGGUGGGAGGUGCUCCUAGCCAUGCAGGAGGAGGAAGAGGUGAGGGCCAGGCUGAGAGCGGCUGCAGGGCUCCUGGGAGAGGGGUACGGACUUGCAGGCCAUUGAGGUGGUAGAUCAAUAGGGCUUGUGAUUAACUCGGGGUGGAGGGGAAGUGGCGGGAGGGGAAGUGGUGGGAGCUGUCAGGUCCCCCACCCUCUACCCCCUGGCCAGUGAGGGCGGGGCUGCGGUUGAGGACCAUGCGGAGUCUUAUCCCACGGAGCAGUGGGUCCUAACCUCAGCCAGAGUCAACAGAGGCUUCCUUGGAUUUUUUUCGGAAUGCCACAUUUGUGCGUCAUGCCAGGCUCACCUACUUAGCAAGACUCGCCUCCCACAACCAGGCCCGCGGGAUCCCAGCACCUCGUCCUGUCUGCUCAUGAGGCCUGCCCGGAACUCUCUUCUCCUGCCCGAGGGCCCGUGAAGAGAAACCUUUCAGUAAACUCACAGCCAGACCCCCAAGUGAAUUCUGGAGUCCUCCCCAGCGUCUGUGGCCGCCUCAUCGGCCUCCAGGGCCCCAGCGGCAGGGCACGACUGCCCAGCCGAAGACAGGAUUGCUGCUGCCCGGUACCGGGCUGGGGACAGAGAUGCCACAUGGGCCAGUUUAUUCCUGUUACUGCUCUGUACAGGUAUAUACAGUUGGUGUGAGCCUAUGGUACAUUAUUUCACAAAGUUAUCUUACAUCCUGUGCACACUCCUCCUGGGCGAGAAGUACCUGCGGGCGGUGGAGGAAAGGACGCUCACGGGAGCCACUCUGUUGCUGAGGACGUGCACGGGGGCGCCCUCCCACCUGCUCCCGGGUGCCGGAGGCUUCCGCAGUCUUUCUCCUGGAGCGGAUAGAGGCUGGCGGGGGCCAAGCAGCACCCACAGCCCCCACCACCCCAGCCUGCCUGACCCCACCGAGUACCAUCAGCAGCAGGACAGUAUCCCCCGGCCCCUCGCCCCCCGCCCAUCACGGGGCGCUGGCGUGCAUCUUCUCCAGGCAGCUCGUCCAGAAGGUCACCAGCCGGUUGUCACGGUUGACGCAGAAGUCCGUGAAGUCCUUCAGCAGCCGGUCAGCAAACCUCUCGUCGCCGGUGGCGCUGGAGCGCCAGGUCUUGGUCAGCAUGGUGUUGUAGGCCCAGCUGUAGCCCACCCUCUCCUCGCAGAACAGGCUCUGGCUGGCGGAGCUGGUGGAGUUGCGGCGCCGCCGUGGCUGCCCUGAGAACUUGCGCUUGGAGUAGGGCAGCUGCAGGAACACCGUGCCUGUGGGGACAGGGGCCAGGUCACAGCUCCGGGAAGGAGGGAGGGAGGGUGCCCGGGCCAGUCCCCCGCCCCCACUCUGGGGCUCCCGGUCCUACCUCGGCCGCCCCAGACCCCGCCCCGUCCACACUGCGCCUGGAGCGCCUCACCUGUGACGUGGAUGUACUGAGGCUUGGUCUCAGCAGGGAAGUUGAAAGCAGAGGCAGAAUAUUUAUCUUGAACAAACCCAAACCUAAGGGAAGGACAGGGAGACAGGCCGAUGAGGGCCCCCUGGGCUACAGGGACAUGGCGGGGGGGGGGGCGGGGGGGCGUGCUGGGGGGAGCGAGAGUGUGGCUAACACGACUCUCCGAUGGCCAUGGGAUCUGGAAAGUCUCUUUCAGGUGGAACAUUCAGGCUGCUCCUCACUGUCCUCACUACUUCCCACCAUCCCGGCCCCCUUUCCUCUCUGGUGCUGAGAGCCUCUCACCUGCCCAGCUCUCCCUCCUCCAGCCUUCAUCUCCACCCAGCCACCCCCCACUCCAUCGCAUCAGCCCUCCCCCCUGCGCCCACCCCCAAGACUGUCAGCUCCCCCGGGGAAGGCCCUUAUCUUAACUCUGCUGAGCCGGGCCCCUCUCCCCUUCCUCUCAGUUCUCCCACACUAAGCACAUAGUAGUUCUCAAUAAAGGUUUUGCAUUGAGAAAUAUCAUAACUGGAGUCCUUUCCUUAAGGCGAGGAAAGCUAGGGCCCUGCCUCGCUGUGUUCUGGAAACAGGCAUCCAUGGCUUGUUCUAUUCCUGGUUUUUUAAUUUCCACAAAGUGCAUGUAUUACACUUUACCUGCUAAGUGCUGUAAAGGAUGCAUUGGCAGAUAUGGCCCCUGCCCUGAGUCUGAGGGGUUUAUGUAAUGAAGCCUGUGAUGAGGCAGAACUAUAGCUGGGAAAACCCUGUCUCCCUUCCUGGACUGAGCUCCAGGGAGGUGCUGUGUUGCAUCCUCUACAGAAGCUGCUGGCUUUACACGGGCACUUGAUAAUUAUUUACUGAAGAACAUGUGAAGUCAGACGCAUAAACAGAUCGGCUGAUGGGCACUGCCAGCUCAUCACUGUCAGCUGGUUCUAGCACAUGCAGGAACGGCUCUGGAGUCUGCCCUUCUUCCUCUCUACUUUCCGAUCAAGGCUCUCUAUUUACUCAGCGUGGAUCAGCAGGACCUGCUGACAAACUCGUCUUCCUCAUAAUAACUACCAUCUCCUGGGGCCCUACUAGGUGCUGGGAACGUCAGGGAACCCUCCCAACAAACCCGGUGAAGGGGGAGAACUCGAAGGCAAAGCACCUCACGGUUCCUCAGCCAGAUGCCGGUGGAGGCCGAGGUGAACCAGGCCUGUCCGCUUCCCACAUCAAAGUCCUUUCCCACCUACCUCUUCAUUGACCGCCCCAAAUCGCACCCCCUCCUACUGGACGGAGGAAGUCAGGUGCCCUGGCAUUCAUUUCACAGCCUUUACCAAGCAUUGAAGAAAAGGGCUGAGUAAGGUCUAAGGCAGGCCUGGGCCGGCUUGGGUGGGGGAGGCUGAAGAGUCCGGACUUUA